UGAAGGUCAUCUCUCAGUGUGUUCUUCCCUCAAGUUAUUCUGAGAAAAUCUUUGCACCAGAGGGAGAUGUAUUGAGUCAAUACUGUAAAGGAGAGAGGACCCAGGAAGACCGGCCUAUCCUGGAACUACUGGUCUGAUCAGCUGUUCCUUGCUGGUCCUGGAUCUACUGUUCCCAGCAGCUGAUCCCUGCUGGUCCUGGAUCUACUGGUCCCAGCAGCUGAUCCCUGCUGCUCCGGGAUCUACAGAGACAAGAGACUCAGCCCUGAGCUGGAUGGAUGACGUCACCGCAAGCACAACAAAACCAGGCACUUAGCAGCUUAG
ensembl:lncRNA